rnacentral:lncRNA from 1 species
GAACUUCAAAGAUCUAAAAUGGAUUUGCUUGGCCCACCCUUGGAACGGAGCUGAUUUUAAAAAGAUGCGUUUGGAGAGUCUAGGAUGGCCACAGAUGCUUCACGUCGUCUCCUGAGGAUGCAGCCUGGGGAUCUGGGAUCUCCACUUCUACAGUCAAGGCCACCAUAACACCCUGGCAGCUCCCUCACCAUCCAGAAAACAAGUUUUGUUUUUUUUUCUUUUCUUUUGAAAGCAUUCACUUUACUAAUGAUAACACAAGAAGUGAGAAUCCAAGAACAAAAGUCAUAUUCACAAAUGGAAUGCGCUGUGUGGAAGACAGGAAGCUCAGGUAACUUGGCAGGAUCCACAGACGGGGCCUUGCCCAUCCAGGCCUCUCCUCCUCUUUCAAUUCCGAUUCUGCUGCUCUGGAAGUGUCCAUUUCAGACGACUUUGCAACAAGAGUGAAGUUUCAAAGCCGUUUUCUGGUUAGCCUUCAAUUAACCAGAAAAUCAGAUUAAUUGUGCAUGAAUUCCUGUGUCCAGGACCGGUGUGACCCAUGGAACAGACCGAUCUGGGUAAAAGUCAGUCAUGUUGAAGCCGAGGUCUCUCACAUUUGGGGCUCCUCAGGAACAAGGGGGCCAUUCAAUCAAUCCACCUGACAUGCUGUCGCAGGCCUGUGCCUUCUGCAGGCUCUGAGCUCAAAACCAUUCUGAAAGAGGCUGUCGAUGGAGGAGAGGGA